AACGAACGCUGGCGACAUGCCUAACACAUGCAAGUCGAACGAGACCUUCGGGUCUUGUGGCGCACGGGUUCGUAACGCCUGGUAACCUACCCUUAGGUUCCGUAUAAUUCCCCUUAAGGUGUGCUAAUACCGGAUAAUGUCUUCCGACCAACGAUUUCUCGCCUUUUGAUGGGCCCUCGUUGGAUUAGCUAGUUGGUAGUGUAAAAGCCUACCAAGGCGACGAUACAUAGCUGGUCUGAGAGGAUGAUCAGACACACUGGGAGUGAGACACGGCCCAGAUUCGGAAGGGAGGAAGCAGUGGGGAAGAAUGGACAAGGGGCGAAAGAGUGAUCAAGCAAGGCCGCGUGAGUGAUGAAGGCGUUAGGGUUGUAAAGCUCGUUUACGCGGGAUGAUAAGGACAGUAAAGGGAGAAUAAAGGACGGCUAACUCAGGG
rnacentral:rRNA from 1 species